CCCCACUUGCAUUCCUCCUGCUGCCUCCAUGCACCAAUAACAACUUCUGCUUCCUUCCCCAGACAUUUGGGGGGCCCCUCCUGGUGGCUCUGAAUCCCCACCAGCCCCUGCCUCUCUUCUCAUCUGAGAUCUUAACCAGCUACCACCCUGGGAAGGCCCCCAAUACCACCCCGUAUGUGCCUUUGGUCUUUCAAAUUUGUGUUUACCUCCCUGGUGGCUGGGCCCCAGCACACCCCAUUGACUGGCCCUGGGGCCUGUGGGCAUGUCCCACCUAUACCGAGGAGCAGCCUAGAGGCCCAUCUCUGGCACCCUUCCCGUCUUUCUGCCCUCCUUCCCCAGACACGUAUUUGCCAUCGUGGCAGCAGCCUAUAGCCUAUUUAAGAGCACUGGGCAGGACCCCUGCAUCCUCCUCAGGUGAGUGCUGGCUGGCCUGCCUGAGCCCAAAGGCCUCCCUGAGGACUCGCAGGUGGGGCAUGAGGUCUGGUGCACCACGGGGUGACAGCUCUGGAUUUCACUGGGGUCUGCUCUAGAGGUCACCACAUAGGCCCCUUUCUGUUCGACCUCCACGCCCUGCAUCUAUCCAUGUUUCUGGGGGUUCUCCAGUGUGUCACUUCCAAGUGGCACAGCCCCACUGUGCAGGUUCACUGAGGCAGUCCCACAGUCUCCUUCCUGGAGAACCUCCUGGCCUCCACCCAUCCCCAGCUCCUCCCUCCUGCAGUGGGCGCAGUGGCUCAGGGAAAACAGAAGCUGCCAAGAAGAUUGUGCGGUUCCUGCGCAGCCUGGAGCAGCAGCAGACAAGGGACAGAGGGUGCCAGGUGAGGCUGGGCUGAAGCUGUCUCCCUCC
rnacentral:lncRNA from 1 species